CAUGCAAGUCGAGCGGUAGCACAGAGAGCUUGCUCUCGGGUGACGAGCGGCGGACGGGUGAGUAAUGUCUGGGAAACUGCCUGAUGGAGGGGGAUAACUACUGGAAACGGUAGCUAAUACCGCAUAACGUCGCAAGACCAAAGUGGGGGACCUUCGGGCCUCAUGCCAUCAGAUGUGCCCAGAUGGGAUUAGCUAGUAGGUGGGGUAACGGCUCACCUAGGCGACGAUCCCUAGCUGGUCUGAGAGGAUGACCAGCCACACUGGAACUGAGACACGGUCCAGACUCCUACGGGAGGCAGCAGUGGGGAAUAUUGCACAAUGGGCGCAAGCCUGAUGCAGCCAUGCCGCGUGUGUGAAGAAGGCCUUCGGGUUGUAAAGCACUUUCAGCGGGGAGGAAGGCGAUAAGGUUAAUAACCUUGUCGAUUGACGUUACCCGCAGAAGAAGCACCGGCUAACUCCGUGCCAGCAGCCGCGGUAAUACGGAGGGUGCAAGCGUUAAUCGGAAUUACUGGGCGUAAAGCGCACGCAGGCGGUCUGUCAAGUCGGAUGUGAAAUCCCCGGGCUCAACCUGGGAACUGCAUUCGAAACUGGCAGGCUAGAGUCUUGUAGAGGGGGGUAGAAUUCCAGGUGUAGCGGUGAAAUGCGUAGAGAUCUGGAGGAAUACCGGUGGCGAAGGCGGCCCCCUGGACAAAGACUGACGCUCAGUGCGAAAGCGUGGGGAGCAAACAGGAUUAGAUACCCUGGUAGUCCACGCCGUAAACGAUGUCGAUUUGGAGGUUGUGCCCUUGAGGCGUGGCUUCCGGAGCUAACGCGUUAAAUCGACCGCCUGGGGAGUACGGCCGCAAGGUUAAAACUCAAAUGAAUUGACGGGGGCCCGCACAAGCGGUGGAGCAUGUGGUUUAAUUCGAUGCAACGCGAAGAACCUUACCUGGUCUUGACAUCCACAGAACUUUCCAGAGAUGGAUUGGUGCCUUCGGGAACUGUGAGACAGGUGCUGCAUGGCUGUCGUCAGCUCGUGUUGUGAAAUGUUGGGUUAAGUCCCGCAACGAGCGCAACCCUUAUCCUUUGUUGCCAGCGGUCCGGCCGGGAACUCAAAGGAGACUGCCAGUGAUAAACUGGAGGAAGGUGGGGAUGACGUCAAGUCAUCAUGGCCCUUACGACCAGGGCUACACACGUGCUACAAUGGCAUAUACAAAGAGAAGCGACCUCGCGAGAGCAAGCGGACCUCAUAAAGUAUGUCGUAGUCCGGAUUGGAGUCUGCAACUCGACUCCAUGAAGUCGGAAUCGCUAGUAAUCGUAGAUCAGAAUGCUACGGUGAAUACGUUCCCGGGCCUUGUACACACCGCCCGUCACACCAUGGGAGUGGGUUGCAAAAGAAGUAGGUAGCUUAACCUUCGGGAGGGCGCUUACCAC
rnacentral:rRNA from 1 species